CCAGUAUUAGAGGCACUGCCUGCCCAGUGACACAUUGUUUAACGGCCGCGGUAUCCUGACCGUGCAAAGGUAGCAUAAUCACUUGUUCUUUAAUUAAGGACUCGAAUGAAUGGCCAAACGAGGGUUAAACUGUCUCUUACUUUAAAUCAGUGAAAUUGACCUCCCCGUGAAAAGGCGGGGAUGUAACAAUAAGACGAGAAGACCCUAUGGAGCUUAAAUUAAAUAACCCACACAGAUAUAAACAAACCUAGCCAAUAGGCAUAACUACCACCAACCCCUGGGUUAAAAAUUUCGGUUGGGGUGACCUCGGAGCACAAUAAAACCUCCGAACAAUUUUAACCUAGACUUCACCAGUCAAAGCAAACUAAAUUACCAGCUGAUCCAAACCAAUUUGAUCAACGGAACAAGUUACCCUAGGGAUAACAGCGCAAUCCUAUUAUAGAGUUCAUAUCGACAAUAGGGUUUACGACCUCGAUGUUGGAUCAGGACAUCCUAAUGGUGUAACCGCUAUUAAAGGUCCGUUUGUUC
rnacentral:rRNA from 1 species